AGAGUUUGAUCCUGGCUCAGGACGAACGCUGGCGGCGUGCCUAAUACAUGCAAGUCGAACGCUCAUUUUUCACCGAACUUCGGUUCACCGAGAAAUGGGAGUGGCGAACGGGUGAGUAACACGUGGGUAACCUACCCAUCAGCGGGGGAUAACACUUGGAAACAGGUGCUAAUACCGCAUAAUUCUUUUCUUCGCCUGGAGGAAAGAUGAAAGACGCUUUUGCAUCACUGAUGGAUGGACCCGCGCUGCAUUAGCUAGUUGGUGGGGUAACGGCUCACCAAGGCCACGAUGCAUAGCCGACCUGAGAGGGUGAUCGGCCACACUGGGACUGAGACACGGCCCAGACUCCUACGGGAGGCAGCAGUAGGGAAUCUUCGGCAAUGGACGAAAGUCUGACCGAGCAACGCCGCGUGAGUGAAGAAGGUUUUCGGAUCGUAAAACUCUGUUGUUAGAGAAGAAUAAGGAUGAGAGUAGAAUGUUCAUCCCUUGACGGUAUCUAACCAGAAAGCCACGGCUAACUACGUGCCAGCAGCCGCGGUAAUACGUAGGUGGCAAGCGUUGUCCGGAUUUAUUGGGCGUAAAGCGAGCGCAGGCGGUUUCUUAAGUCUGAUGUGAAAGCCCCCGGCUUAACCGGGGAGGGUCAUUGGAAA
rnacentral:rRNA from 1 species